rnacentral:rRNA from 1 species
AUUGAACGCUAGCGGCAUGCCUUACACAUGCAAGUCGAACGGCAGCACGGGAGCAAUCCUGGUGGCGAGUGGCGAACGGGUGAGUAAUAUAUCGGAACGUGCCCGGUCGUGGGGGAUAACGUAGCGAAAGCUACGCUAAUACCGCAUACGAUCUACGGAUGAAAGCGGGGGAUCGCAAGACCUCGCGCGAUUGGAGCGGCCGAUAUCAGAUUAGGUAGUUGGUGAGGUAAAGGCUCACCAAGCCGACGAUCUGUAGCUGGUCUGAGAGGACGACCAGCCACACUGGGACUGAGACACGGCCCAGACUCCUACGGGAGGCAGCAGUGGGGAAUUUUGGACAAUGGGCGCAAGCCUGAUCCAGCAAUGCCGCGUGCAGGAUGAAGGCCUUCGGGUUGUAAACUGCUUUUGUACGGAACGAAACGGUGAGCUCUAAUACAGUUUGCUAAUGACGGUACCGUAAGAAUAAGCACCGGCUAACUACGUG